rnacentral:rRNA from 1 species
CCUAGCUUGCUAGGUGGAUUAGUGGCGCACGGGUGAGUAAUAUAUAGAUAACGUGCCUCUUAGUCUGGGAUAGCCAUUGGAAACGAUGAUUAAUACUAGAUAUUCCUUCUAACAAUAAUGUUAGUCGGGAAAGUUUUUCGCUAAGAGAUCGGUCUAUAUCCCAUCAGCUAGUUGGUAGUGUAAGAGACUACCAAGGCAAUGACGGGUAGCGGGUUUGAGAGGAUGAUCCGCCACACUGGUACUGAGACACGGACCAGACUCCUACGGGAGGCAGCAGUGAGGAAUAUUGCACAAUGGAGGAAACUCUGAUGCAGCAACGCCGCGUGGAGGAUGACGCAUUUCGGUGUGUAAACUCCUUUUAUAUGUCAAGAAAAUGACGGUAGCAUAUGAAUAAGCACCGGCUAACUCCGUGCCAGCAGCCGCGGUAAUACGGAGGGUGCAAGCGUUAUUCGGAAUCACUGGGCGUAGAGGACGCGUAGGCGGGAUGCCAAGUCUGAUGU